UUUGUUUUGGAGUAUGUGAUGUUGUGUAAUUGUGGUCUGAUUGUUAUGGUGUAAUAAGAACAUAAGUUUUGGACAAAUCAUGUCAUGUAUGCUUUAAAAAUCCAAAGAGUUAUGCCUUGCAUGCUAAGUGUUUGAUAUUAUGCCUCUUGGUUGCUAAUUUGAUCAAAACAUGAAAAGUUAGAGAAAUGAAUUGUUGUAACAUGUAUAUAUAUGUUAUUAGAAGUGGUCUGGAUAAUAGGAAUCAAACCCAUGCAUGCUAGAAUCAAAAUCAUGAUUUUCUCAAAAGUUGGGUUAAACUAGUUUGCAUGAUUUUUCAGGAUUUUUGGUCACUCGAAAUCAUGUCUUAGAUAAUCCAUUUGUUGCAUGUAAUAAUUUUGUAAAAUAGUAUGUAGCAUGAGGUAUAACAUGUCCAAAUUUCAUUCGGAUCGAAGCUAUAUUGAGUGAGAUAUGAA
rnacentral:lncRNA from 1 species